CCCAUAAAACGAUGUGAAAAAUUUCCUCAGCAAGCACAUUUAUUUUAAAUUCACGUUUUUCCUCAAACAUAUUUAAUAUGGACCAACGUAUGGUUGAUGUAACAUCAAAGAAGUCUACGAGAACGCAGAGAGCUGCAGGUUACUUCACACACUUGGUCUCCAUUCACAAAUUCACCGAUGACAUCAGCUCGCUGCUGUUACCAUGGCAACCGGCUCCAUCAUGUGUGUCAUGUGACAGGAAGAAAGCCUCUCGUAGAAGUCGAGAUGCGCUCCGGACGGGAAGUCGUUGUCCAGCAGGAGUUUGACGAGUUUGGACCCGGACUCCUCGCAGGUCAGAAGCUGGUGUUCGGAGAACAUCGAGGAGAACGAGCGACGCAGGUUCAGGUCUCCAGAGAAACGACGGGCUUGAAGCUGCAUGUCUGUGUCCAGAGGACCUGUGGGUCACAGUACACUCACCGGGAGCGUAACUCAGCACCCGUACGUCCGGCUCCUCUUCGGCUAACACCCGGAACAUCAUGUCUCGCGCCGCUUUCCCGGUGCAGUACAGGACCCACGAGGGGAAGGGCUUCAGCGCACACAGAGAGCUGAUGUUCACCACGGUUCUCCUCAGACCCAGACGAUGAGGGAACGCCUGCAGGACGCCGGCCGUCAGACUGAGCGCGCCGCUAACGUUCAGCGACAGGUAGCGGUUCACCUCCGCGGGGUCCGUGAACGACACAGCGAAGCGAGACACGUCGCCCAGAGACGCUGAGAACAAGAGACACACUCAUUACAAGAGAACGAUCGGCUCUUUCAAAGCGCUC